UGGGGAAUUUUGGACAAUGGGGGAAACCCUGAUCCAGCAAUGCCGCGUGAGUGAAGAAGGCCUUCGGGUUGUAAAGCUCUUUCAGUUGAGAAGAAAUGAUUAUGGCUAAUAAUCAUAAUUGAUGACGGUAUCAACAGAAGAAGCACCGGCUAACUACGUGCCAGCAGCCGCGGUAAUACGUAGGGUGCGAGCGUUAAUCGGAAUUACUGGGCGUAAAGGGUGCGCAGGCGGUUAUGUAAGUCAGAUGUGAAAUCCCCGGGCUUAACCUGGGAAUUGCGUUUGAAACUACAUGACUAGAGUGUAACAGAGGGAAGUGGAAUUCCAUGUGUAGCAGUGAAAUGCGUAGAGAUAUGGAGGAACAUCGAUGGCGAAGGCAGCUUCCUGGGUUAACACUGACGCUCAUGCACGAAAGCGUGGGGAGCAAACAGGAUUAGAUACCCCAGUAGUCCCUGAGCGGGCUGGCAAGGCGCAU
rnacentral:rRNA from 1 species